rnacentral:rRNA from 1 species
AUUGAACGCUGGCGGAAUGCUUUACACAUGCAAGUCGAACGGCAGCACGGGGGCAACCCUGGUGGCGAGGGGCGAACGGGUGGGUAAUACAUCUGAACGUGCCCGGUCGUGGGGGAUAACGUGGCGAAAGUUACUCUAAUACCGCAUACGAUCUGAGGAUGAAAGCGGGUGACCUUCGGGCCUCGCGCGAUCGGAGCGGCCGAUGUGAGUUUAGGUAGUUGGUGGGGUAAAGGCCUUCCAAGCCGACGAUCUCUAGCUGGUCCGAGAGGACGACCAGCCACCCGGUGACUGAGACACAGCACCGACUCCUACGCGAAGCCGCAGUGGGGAAUCUUGGACAAUGGGCGAAAGCCUGAUCCAGCACUUCCGCGUGAAGGCCGAAGGCCUUCGGGUUGUAAACUGAUUUUGUCUGGAACGAAAAGGCUCUGGCUAAUACCUGGGGAUCAUGACGGUACCGUAAGAAUAAGCACCGGCUAACUCCGUG